CUCAAGUCCUCUCAAGGGUCAUGUGAAGUUCUUGAGAUAAUAUCAAUUUAAAUUCACCUGAAUGUUUAAACAUGGUUCUUUAAAGCAGGAAGACAGAGAGGUGGAAGAAGCUGAAUGGCCGUGCCCGCGGGAGCAUGGCUGGUCAGACGCCGGGUCUGAGGAGUACCGAGGAGCUGGAGGUGCUCUCUUCCAGCAGACUCCCCACUGGGCCCAAGGAAAGCCUGUGACCUGGGGCAAAAUGGACGUCUCCUGGAUCCUUGAGUCACCACGUGGAGAAGAACUAUUGACCACUCUUGCUGGGCCUUACAGGUGCAAGAAAUAAACUUCUGCUUCUUACAAGGUUAAUUUAUUGCCAGAGCAUGGCAUGGCAUAGCUGUGGCAAAUACAACUGGGUAAGGACUUGGGCACCAAUUUAAAACUACAAUACAAGGAAGACUACCCCCUCACAUGAUGAGCCACAAAGGCAUCUGAGGAUGUCCAGCUCUCUUGGGUCACCCCAGAUCCACCUGAUGCUACAUUCCUGGACCUGGGCCUGGCGUCAAGUUCUGCUCUUGACACUAGUCAUCUGUGAGUUACCCCUCUGGACCGCCCCUUCUUCGUGUCUCCAUGAGCUUGCUCCCAGACCCCAGGGCAGGGCUAAUUCCAUCAGGGCUCUGGACUGGGGGUCAGUUGCACCUGUGCCCAAAAGCCAGAGCCAAGAAGCUGCAAUGUCCUUUGCUCACCACACUGCACUGGGUAGCACCUGGUGUACAGUCAGAGCACCAGGGUGAGAAUGGACAAGGGCCAACUUGGACUCCUAUUGUCUGAGGGGAAUGUGGCUGUCGCUGCCCUGAACAGGCAAGUCAGAGAGGAGCUGGAACAGAGGCCUGAUUUGGUUCCUUGCACCUGUUGGCACACCUCUCAAUACAGGGUCUCAACAGGAGCUCUGGACUGAGAGUCACAAUCAUUUAUACCCCUGGGUAAAAGUGUUCAAAAGAGAAAGGCUGGAGGGGACUCCCUGGCCAAUGACAAACACAGUGUCCCUCUUCAGGAGCUGGAGAAGCUUAGGCUUCAACAUGGAGAAACAUGUGUCUGUCUCAAGCCUACAUCUGCCAAUGUAGGCACAUGUUUCCCUGCCAGGGGCCAGCUGGAAGCUUCCUGGAGCUCCUUAUGCUUCUGGCCUCUUCAACUCACAAACUGUUCAGCAGGGCAAAACCCUUAACAAGCUGGAACAUAAUCAAAACUCUAAAUGCAUUAGGUCAUUUCUCCUGUAAUGAGAAAGAAAAAUCACAAUAAAACAAAUUCACAUCAAGAACAUACUGAAAGAACAGUAACAAUAGCCAUAUCCACAAAACAAUCUUAGCCUUGUCACCAGCGAGGAGGCAAUCUUAGGAUGGUGGCUGUAAGGCCAUCAAAUCCCCAAGGAACCGUCCAACCAUCCAACAAAAGAAUCAAUACUGGAGACGAUCGCUGUUUCCCAAGGCAGAGAGCAGACACAUGCAUCGUGCCUUGUCAGUGACGACGCAAAUGGAAACGCUUCUGCGGUCAAUCUUCAGUGAAUGCGAUGAUUUUAUUAACUGAUUCUUGAGUAUCCGGGCCCUCCUUAAACAUUCUGGUGAAAGGACAUUUGUAAGAUACACAAAGAAUUCACACACCCUACAUCUUGAGAAAAUCAGACGCUUCAUAUCCUUUGUGGAAAUGAGAUCGAGAACAAAAUAAAAUAUAAAAAUCUUUUAAAAUCCAUGAAACAAUAAGGAGACGAGAAGGGGAUGAGGGGACAAACAAAAAGAAAAGGGGCCACUUGCCUGGCGCUUUGGAGGCCUAGAAAGUUAAACGUGUCCUAAAGUCAUGGCACUGGCCGCCCUCCAAAAUCUGAGAGGCACCUCAAGGCAUUUGGAAGAAAGCACCACUUGGCUGGGAAAAGUGGUACCAAGGGAGGCUUUCAGGCCAGGAAUUACAGGGAAAGUAACAAUCAUGUUAAUCAAGUGCCUAGAAUUGGCUUCACACCGACUUUCUCUGAAACUAUUGGCCAAGAAUAUCUUUCAGUUUAUUUGCACAAUUGACCAAAAUUCCUUCUACCUUAGAACGUAUUAACCUGAUCUACUUGUUCUUAAGGUUCAGGAGAUCACAGAUUCUUUUGAGAAUCCAACAAAGCUAUGUACCCUUUCCACCAAAAAAAUUAUUGUUGGCACACACUUCUCAACGAAUUAACAAGGACCCGAAGCCAACUCAUAGACCCUGGUUUGAAACCCCUGUGCUAAAGUGGACUCCAUUUGGGACCCAGGGACCAAGGAUGGGCGCAGUUUCAUUUCCCGAGUUUCAAUAUCAGGGGCUGAUCAUCUACGCGAGGUGACGAGAUAACUAUAAUCAUAAGAGAAAGGCACCUUAGCGCCUCCCAAGUUUGCCCUGGGAAUUUAGCAUCCUCACUGGUUAUUGUGGAGGCAUCCAUCCAGCCUGGCCAGGGCCCUUUCUCCCAGGGGCCUUCAGGCAUUUACAAAACACCAGAUGGCACAACUCUUCUAGGCAGGUAUGGGACAGGACAACCUGUUAGUACUCAAAUCAGGGACUGUCUCCAUUAGGGGUGUGUGUGUGUGUGUGUGUGUCCAUGCAUGCGUGCACCUGGGAAUCUCAGGCCAUCUCAGUGGGCUGGUUGGGUUCAUCUAGACUCACCUGAGCCAUUUCUUCACUUUGGAGCAUUUCUCCAAAGAAAUUACGGGUAAAACCAACAUCACAAAUGAUGUAAUGAUUUGGCCCAGAAGUGAUCCUCAUCACUUCCCCUCCCAGCCCUUUGGCUGGGAGCAGUGCUAUGGCCCUGUCUGAGAAGGGAGGAAAAUAGAAACUCCCUGUGGUCCACCAGAGCAGAGCACUGGAUCCAGGCAAGCUCAGGAGCUCUCCUCCACACACUCUUUACACAGGAAUCAGAGACACCGACGGGAAAAAGGACAUGCUCUAGGUCACUGUCUAGAAAGGGCACAGCCAAGACUCCAGCCUGGGUCUGUCGUACAAAGUUUCCAUGCCCCUAAUCACAGUCGGAGCGCAGUGGGGGUAAACAAAGGGAAGGCAGAAGCAAAGAACUUCCUUGCUCUGUGUGAUGUGCUUUCAGAUCGCAAGGAGCUUUCUGCAUGCUGGGGGACCACCUGCCCUGGGAGAGUCUGGGGUCUACAGGCCUCCCCGCAUUCCACUACUGGGGAGAGCACACUGAUGACAGCCCUCGCCUGGUGUUACUGAUGUCUUGGCGUGUUGGCCAUGCAAUAAGCAGAUUUUCAUCUCACCUCUGACUUGGUGGCACACGAUGGGCCUCCUGGUGAGCUUGAGGGUCGUGCUGCAACAUUCCAUUUCUAUUGCAUCAGUGUCACUGGGGCACACAGAGCACGCCUUCCUGCAGCCCCAAACCUACAGGCUCCCCCAACAAGGCCCCUCCCCACACAGGGACCAGGGUGGCAAAGGGUGCACAAUGCCCUCUUCCUGUGGCCUAUUGAGAAGGAGUAGGCAGGGCACGGAGGCAGUGGGGAGGCUGUGAAGGAAGGUUUGCCUUCGUUUUAAGGUUUGGUGCUUUUAGGCGUAAACUCUGAGUUUCUUUCCUGACACCAUGCCUACAGCCAGGAGGCUGGGAAAUCAGGCUUGCUGGGGCUCAGACCUGAGUAGCGAGUCUUCAUGCUCUGAGCCAAAGAGCACAGCAGGGUCUGUGCCUGGGGUCAGUGUCCUCACAGCAGCAGCACCUGUGGCCCAUAGCAAUGACUGAACUAUGGCCCUGGGGUCCUGGGUGGGACACCACCCCCCAGUAUCAACUAGGAAGGGUCUGGAGUCAAGCUUCUGCCCCUACAUUGUGCUGGCUGCCUCUUUCCUACACAAUGUUUAGGGGUUUGCUUGAUUUAUUUUGAGAGCAAAUUACUAUCACAAUUCGAGAGCCCUGAGCCCCUCGCCUGCCCCAGGACUCUCCUCAAUCCCCCCGCGCUUUCUCUCUUUCUCUCUCUCUCUCCCCUGUACGCUGCCACCCAUGCAGCUGAUGCGACACAGCUGCGGAGUGAUUUAACGCGGGGAUCAUUCCUGUCUGACACUCUGACUUGGGAGAAAACCUGGAUGUUUUUGUGCAUAAUAGAGCUACUUUCCUCACUCAGCAUCAGCAUUUACAGGCUGUACAACUCACUCUUCCUGGAAUUUGCUCUUCUGGUUCUUGUAAUCCUGGGCUGAGUGAUGCCAUGCCUCCCUGUUCUCUGCUUCCUGCAAGGAUUUUUUUUUUUCUUUUUGGCUGGCCACAUUUGAUCCAUUAGAAGCCUCCCCGUUUUUUCCCUUCCAUUUCUCCCUUUCCAUCCCCCAUUUCAGUCCACCCUGAGGGUUUCUGAAUAAAGCCGGAGGAGUGCGUUCCCGCCUUUGACUCACGCUGCUCCAGUUGAAAGUUCACUGAAUUUCCUUAUGCACCAAGAAGCUUCACACUGAGUACCUCUGAGAAACUCUUACUCACUUGAUUACAGCAUUGCUAAACUUUUGGCAGAACACGUGUUUACCCAUUUAAUUAUCAUUAUUCAGUGUUUCUCCCACUCGGAUUUCUGGUUUUACAUAUUAUAUCAUUUUUGGCUGAGCAGACGUGUGGGGAAUGGUAAUAUAGAAGGCGGAAAAAGAUACAGUGGAUCGGGAUGUGCACUUAAACUUUAGUUUUUUCUCCCAAGGACGACUGUCUGCGAGAUAUCCAUGUCACCAAGCAAAUAUUCUUUUCUUUAAAUCACUUUUCUUUUGUUUUCGGAAAAAGUCCCUUCCAUUGGUCCUCCCCUCAUUGGGUCUUACUCAUGCCUCAAUCACUUCCUACUGGGGUUAUAGAUGGUUUUUGUUUCACGACAUCUAAAAUGAUGUCUUUUGAAUGAAUAUCCAAGGAGCCAAACAGACAUAGAAAGAUUGAUUCUGGAAAAUAAAAUAUUAGUCAUUUGC
rnacentral:lncRNA from 10 species